rnacentral:rRNA from 1 species
CCUACGGGCGACAGCAGUGGGGAAUAUUGCACAAUGGGUGAAACCCUGAUGCAGCGACGCCGCGUGAGUGAAGACGGAUUUCCGUAUGUAAAGCUCUUUCAGCAGGGAAGAUAAUGACGGUACCUGAGUAAGAAUCCCCGUCUAACUACGUUCCGGCAGCCGCGGUACUACGUCGGGUGCAAGCGUUAUCCGGAUUUUCUGGGUGUAAAGGGAGCGUAGACGGCUUGGCAAGUCUGAAGUGAAAGCUCGGGGCUCAACCGCGGAACUGCUUUGGAAACUGUUAAGCGGGAGUGCAGGAGAGGUAAGUGGAAUUCCUAGUGUAGCGGUGAAAUGCGUAGAUAUGAGGAGGAACACCAGUGGCGAAGGCGGCCUACUGGACUGUAACUGACGUUGAGGCUCGAAAGUGUGGGGAGCAAACAGGAUUAGAUACCCUGGUAGUC